GGGAUAUGGGCGCAMKNGABCCCAGCCAUGCCGCGUGAGUGACGACGGCCUUAGGGUUGUAAAGCUCUUUUGGCGGGGACGAUAAUGACGGUACCCGCAGAAUAAGCCCCGGCUAACUUCGUGCCAGCAGCCGCGGUAAUACGAAGGGGGCUAGCGUUGUUCGGAAUCACUGGGCGUAAAGCGCACGUAGGCGGACUUUCAAGUCAGGGGUGAAAUCCCGGGGCUCAACCUCGGAACUGCCUUUGAUACUGUUGGUCUCGAGUCCGAUAGAGGUGGGUGGAAUUCCUAGUGUAGAGGUGAAAUUCGUAGAUAUUAGGAAGAACACCGGUGGCGAAGGCGGCCCACUGGAUCGGUACUGACGCUGAGGUGCGAAACGUGGGGAGCAAACAGGAUUAGAUACCCUGGUAGUCCACGCCGUAAACGAUGGAUGCUAGCCGUCGGCAAGCUUGCUUGUCGGUGGCGCMGUAACGCAUUAAGCAUCCCGCCUGGGGAGUACGGCCGCAAGUUAAAACUCAAAGGAAUUGACGGGGGCCGCACAAGCGUUGGAGCAUGUGGUUUAAUUCGACGCACCGCAAGAACCUUACCAAGCC
rnacentral:rRNA from 1 species